AGAGUUUGAUCAUGGCUCAGGAUGAACGCUUGCGGCGUGCCUAAUACAUGUAAGUCGAACGGAAGAUGUAGCAAUAUGUCUUUAGUGGCGAACGGGUGAGUAACGCGUUGGUGACCGGCCCCGAAGAGAGGGAUAACAGACCGAAAGGUUUGCUAAUACCGCGUAAUUUCCUUCUAGUUAGAGAGGAGGGAAGAAAGGCCGAAAGGCGCUUUGGGAGGGGCCUGCGUCCCAUCAGCUAGUUGGCGAGGUAAAAGCUCACCAAGGCGAUGACGGGUAGGGGACCUGAGAGGGUGACCCCCCACAAUGGAACUGAAACACGGUCCAUACACCUACGGGUGGCAGCAGUAGGGAAUAUUGGUUAAUGGGCGAAAGCCCGACCCAGCAACGCCGCGUGCACGAAGAAGGCCUUCGGGUUGUAAAGUGCUUUUUAGUGGGAUGAGGAAGGACAGUACCACUAGAAUAAGUCUCGGCUAACUACGUGCCAGCAGCCGCGGUAACACGUAGGAGACGAGCGUUAUCCGGAUUUACUGGGUGUAAAGCGCGUGCAGGCGGUCGGGUAAGUUGGAUGUGAAAGCUCCUGGCUUAACUGGGAGAGAUCGUUCAAAACUGCCGGGCUAGAGUGCAACAGAGGGGAGUGGAAUUCCGAGUGUAGCGGUAAAAUGCAUAGAUAUUCGGAAGAACACCAGUGGCGAAGGCGGCUCUCUGGGUUGCAACUGACGCUCAGACGCGAAAGCUAGGGUAGCGAACGGGAUUAGAGACCCCGGUAGUCCUAGCCGUAAACGAUGUGGACUUGGCGUGGGUGGGUUGAAAUCCAUCUGUGCCGAAGCAAACGCGAUAAGUCCACCACCUGGGGACUACGGCCGCAAGGUUAAAACUCAAAGGAAUUG
rnacentral:rRNA from 1 species